rnacentral:rRNA from 1 species
AGUAACGCGUGAGCAAUCUGCCUUUAAGAGGGGGAUAACAGUCGGAAACGGCUGCUAAUACCGCAUAAAGCAUUAAAUUCGCAUGUUUUUUGAUGCCAAAGGAGCAAUCCGCUUUUAGAUGAGCUCGCGUCUGAUUAGCUGGUUGGCGGGGUAACGGCCCACCAAGGCGACGAUCAGUAGCCGGACUGAGAGGUUGAACGGCCACAUUGGGACUGAGACGCGGCCCAG